rnacentral:misc_RNA from 1 species
AAGUCGUAACAAGGUUUCUGUAGGUGAACCUGCAGAAGGAUCAUUGUUGUAAAACUUAGCAGUCUCCGAGAUACGUUCACUCGUUCUCAGAGCUGCGAUCCACAAACCAAUACACACCUGUGCACACACAAAACACAUCUCAAACGCAAAGUAAAUCAAAGAAUGUAAACAAAAAAUCCUUCGAAGGAAGGUGAAAGUUAAAUACAACUUUCGGCAACGGAUCUCUAGGCUCUCC